GACGUAGGGCGCGAGCGUUGUCCGGAUUUAUUGGGCGUAAAGAGCUCGUAGGCGGUUUGUCGCGUCUGCCGUGAAAGUCCGGGGCUUAACUCCGGGUCUGCAUUCGAUACGGGCAGGCUAGAGUUCGGUAGGGGAGAUCGGAAUUCCUGGUGUAGCGGUGAAAUGCGCAGAUAUCAGGAGGAACACCGGUGGCGAAGGCGGAUCUCUGGGCCGAUACUGACGCUGAGGAGCGAAAGCGUGGGGAGCGAACAGG
rnacentral:rRNA from 1 species